rnacentral:rRNA from 1 species
AGAGUUUGAUCCUGGCUCAGGACGAACGCUGGCGGCGUGCCUAAUACAUGCAAGUCGAACGAACUCUGGUAUUGAUUGGUGCUUGCAUCAUGAUUUACAUUUGAGUGAGUGGCGAACUGGUGAGUAACACGUGGGAAACCUGCCCAGAAGCGGGGGAUAACACCUGGAAACAGAUGCUAAUACCGCAUAACAACUUGGACCGCAUGGUCCGAGUUUGAAAGAUGGCUUCGGCUAUCACUUUUGGAUGGUCCCGCGGCGUAUUAGCUAGAUGGUGAGGUAACGGCUCACCAUGGCAAUGAUACGUAGCCGACCUGAGAGGGUAAUCGGCCACAUUGGGACUGAGACACGGCCCAAACUCCUACGGGAGGCAGCAGUAGGGAAUCUUCCACAAUGGACGAAAGUCUGAUGGAGCAACGCCGCGUGAGUGAAGAAGGGUUUCGGCUCGUAAAACUCUGUUGUUAAAGAAGAACAUAUCUGAGAGUAACUGUUCAGGUAUUGACGGUAUUUAACCAGAAAGCCACGGCUAACUACGUGCCAGCAGCCGCGGUAAUACGUAGGUGGCAAGCGUUGUCCGGAUUUAUUGGGCGUAAAGCGAGCGCAGGCGGUUUUUUAAGUCUGAUGUGAAAGCCUUCGGCUCAACCGAAGAAGUGCAUCGGAAACUGGGAAACUUGAGUGCAGAAGAGGACAGUGGAACUCCAUGUGUAGCGGUGAGAUGCGUAGAUAUAUGGAAGAACACCAGUGGCGAAGGCGGCUGUCUGGUCUGUAACUGACGCUGAGGCUCGAAAGUAUGGGUAGCAAACAGGAUUAGAUACCCUGGUAGUCC